AACGAGGCCGACCUGCGGCUGAGUUACCUGCGGAAGGAUCAUUACCGAGUUAUACAACUCAUCAACCCCUGUGAACUUACCUACAACGUUGCUUCGGCGGGAACAGACGGCCCCGUAAAACGGGCCGCCCCCGCCAGAGGACCCCUAACUCUGUUUUUAUAAUGUUUUUCUGAGUAAACAAGCAAAUAAAUUAAAACUUUUAACAAUGGAUCU
rnacentral:misc_RNA from 1 species